rnacentral:rRNA from 1 species
GACGUAGGGCGCGAGCGUUGUCCGGAUUUAUUGGGCGUAAAGCGCUCGUAGGCGGUUUGUCGCGUCGUCUGUGAAAACCCACGGCUCAACUGUGGGCUUGCAGUCGAUACGGGCAGGCUAGAGUUCGGUAGGGGAGACUGGAAUUCCUGGUGUAGCGGUGAAAUGCGCAGAUAUCAGGAGGAACACCGGUGGCGAAGGCGGGUCUCUGGGCCGAUACUGACGCUGAGGAGCGAAAGCGUGGGGAGCGAACAGG